GUCAGGAUGGCCGAGUGGUCUAAGGCGCCAGACUCAAGUUCUGGUCUCCAAUUGGAGGCGUGGGUUCAAGUCCUACUUCUGGUA
rnacentral:tRNA from 1 species